AAAACCUUAAGUUAAUUCAAACUAAUAACCUUCAAAGUUAUAUAUAUAUUUAUAAAUAUAGGUUUUA
rnacentral:tRNA from 1 species